AUUGAACGCUGGCGGCAGGCCUAACACAUGCAAGUCGAGCGGAAACGAGUUAUCUGAACCUUCGGGGAACGAUAGCGGCGUCGAGCGGCGGACGGGUGAGUAAUGCCUAGGAAAUUGCCCUGAUGUGGGGGAUAACCAUUGGAAACGAUGGCUAAUACCGCAUGAUGCCUACGGGCCAAAGAGGGGGACCUUCGGGCCUCUCGCGUCAGGAUAUGCCUAGGUGGGAUUAGCUAGUUGGUGAGGUAAGGGCUCACCAAGGCGACGAUCCCUAGCUGGUCUGAGAGGAUGAUCAGCCACACUGGAACUGAGACACGGUCCAGACUCCUACGGGAGGCAGCAGUGGGGAAUAUUGCACAAUGGGCGCAAGCCUGAUGCAGCCAUGCCGCGUGUGUGAAGAAGGCCUUCGGGUUGUAAAGCACUUUCAGUCGUGAGGAAGGUAGUGUAGUUAAUAGCUGCAUUAUUUGACGUUAGCGACAGAAGAAGCACCGGCUAACUCCGUGCCAGCAGCCGCGGUAAUACGGAGGGUGCGAGCGUUAAUCGGAAUUACUGGGCGUAAAGCGCAUGCAGGUGGUUUGUUAAGUCAGAUGUGAAAGCCCGGGGCUCAACCUCGGAAUUGCAUUUGAAACUGGCAGACUAGAGUACUGUAGAGGGGGGUAGAAUUUCAGUGUAGCGGUGAAAUGCGUAGAGAUCUGAAGGAAUACCGGUGGCGAAAGCGGCCCCCUGGACAGAUACUGACACUCAGAUGCGAAAGCGUGGGGAGCAAACAGG
rnacentral:rRNA from 1 species